ensembl:snRNA U6 U6 spliceosomal RNA
GGGAACUCAACCAUACACUAAAAUUGGAGCAGUAGAGAGGAGAUUAGCAUAGUGCCUGUGUAAGGAUGAUAUACAAAUUGGUGAACCCUCCCAGAAUCUA